UUCUUCCUUAGACUUUUCCCCAUUCAUAUUGAUGUUUCGAUCAUUACUGCCUCCGAUCAACCAUGUUUUUUUUACUGCUGUUCCAAGACGUCCACCACCAAUCAAGAAAAGGACUGGUAUCUCCUGGUCCCAUUUAUAAGAAUUAACUAGAUAGUGAGAAUGAUACCUUAAUGCAUCACCAGGGUAAGCUACGAAUUGACAUCCAAAACGCAAACCAGGAUUCAAGUAGAAACCUGUAUCAACCAAGGACUUAAACAUCAGGUAUCUAUUUAUAUCUAAAUUUUCGAAAACAUCUUCCUCUUUGUGAAAGUCGUCAUUCAUUGAUGACUUCUCAGCAAUUCUGGUAGUAACAGUGUCCACUGGUAUCCAGGAUAAAUCAAAUGAAUCGUGUUCAUCAUAAUUCAAAGGAUCAAGUGGUAGAGUCCGACCCAAUUUUUUCAUUAUUUCAAUUUUCUUUUCGUUUUCUUUCUUUUUUGCCGCAAUCAUUUGAUCAUAUGCCAAUGACUGGCGUUUUUUUAAACACUGUUUCACAUCGUCUUUAGUCGUAUUUUCAAGGAGUUGCUUAUGCACCUUCGUAUCAUCAACUAUAUAAGAAAUUCCUUUUUCAAUUAAGUAAAAAGCUUCUUCUUUAGAUAAUUCCAUGGGAAGGCCUAGAAAUACAUUUUGUUGCGGCAACUGUGGCAGAGUUCCAACUAGCGUACCAAGAAUAUGAUAAUUUUUACGAAAUACUUCUACUGCUUGAACGUCAAAAACAAGGAACUUCCCAUGAACGUAAGAUAUUGGGAACUUCUCAUCUUCCAUGUUCAAACAGUCUUUUACCUUAGAUAAGUCGAUAAAUGAUCAAAGGCUUCAAUAUGAAGUAUGACAGUGACACCAAUAUUUGUUUAAUUGAAUGAUUAUGAAAGUUAUUCCAAAUCAACUUGGUUUCACAUACAUUAAACUGCUUGUUUUAACAGAUAGUUUACUUGGGGCAUCGGAGCUGUAGUGUAGCAAACUUCGCAACUUACAAAUUCAUACAUUAACUAUUUU